CUCUCAGAGAGUUGAUUCUGGCUCAGGAUGAACGCUAGCGACAGGCUUAACACAUGCAAGUCGAGGGCAGCACGGAGUAGCAAUACUUGGUGGCGACCGGCGCACGGGUGAGUAACGCGUAUGCAACCUACCUAUCAGAGGGGAAUAACCCGGCGAAAGUCGGACUAAUACCGCAUAAAACAGGGGCACCGCAUGGUGAUAUUUGUUAAAGAAAUUCGCUGAUAGAUGGGCAUGCGUUCCAUUAGGUAGUUGGUGAGGUAACGGCUCACCAAGCCGACGAUGGAUAGGGGAACUGAGAGGUUGGUCCCCCACACUGGUACUGAGACACGGACCAGACUCCUACGGGAGGCAGCAGUGAGGAAUAUUGGUCAAUGGGCGGGAGCCUGAACCAGCCAAGUCGCGUGAAGGAAGAAGGAUCUAUGGUUCGUAAACUUCUUUUGCGGGGGAAUAAAGUGCAGGACGUGUCCUGUUUUGUAUGUACCCUGAGAAUAAGGAUCGGCUAACUCCGUGCCAGCCGCUGC
rnacentral:rRNA from 1 species